UACGAAGGGGGGCUAGCGUUGUUCGGAAUUACUGGGCGUAAAGCGCGCGUAGGCGGUUUUGCAAGCCAGAGGUGAAAUGCCUGAGCUCAACUCAGGAAUGGCCUUUGGGACUGCGAGGCUUUGAGGACUGGAGAGGUGAGUGGAAUUCCCAGUGUAGAGGUGAAAUUCGUAGAUAUUAGGAAGAACACCAGUGGCGAAGGCGGCUCACUGGUCCGGUACUGACGCUGAGGUGCGAAAGCGUGGGGAGCAAACAGG
rnacentral:rRNA from 1 species